GGGGCGAUCGCGCUAUCAUGCAGUCGAGGGGCAGCACGGGUAGCAAUACUGGGUGGCGACCGGCGCACGGGUGCGUAACACGAUAUGUAAUCUGCCCUUAACAGGGGGAUAGCCCGGAGAAAUCCGGAUUAAUACCCCAUAGUAAUAUGGAUCGGCAUCGAUUUAUAUUUAAAGCUCCGGCGGUUAAGGAUGAACAUGCGACUGAUUAGCUAAUUGGUGAGGUAAUGGCUCACCAAGGCGACGAUCAGUAGGGGUACUGAGAGGUUAAACCCCCCACCACUGGUACUGAGACACGGACCAGACUCCUACGGGAGGCAGCAGUAAGGAAUAUUGGACAAUGGAGGCAACUCUGAUCCAGCCAUGCCGCGUGCAGGAAGAAGGCGCUAUGCGUUGUAAACUGCUUUUGUACCAGAGAAAAUCACUGUACGUGUACGGUGUUGAUAGUAUGGUAAGAAUAAGCAUCGGCUAACUUCGUGCCAGCAGCCGCGGUAAUACGAAGGAUGCGAGCGUUAUCCGGAUUUAUUGGGUUUAAAGGGAGCGUAGGCGGUCUUAUAAGUCAGUGGUGAAAUCUCGUUGCUUAACAACGACCGUGCCAUUGAUACUGUAGGACUUGAGUACAGUUGCCGUUGGCGGAAUGUGUCCAUGUACGCGGUGAAAUGCAUAGAUAUGACCACCAGAACCACCCCGAUUGCGAAGGCACGCCUGACGAAANCUGUAANCUGACCGCUAGGNYCNAANGCG
rnacentral:rRNA from 1 species